UGGGGAAUCUUGCACAAUGGGGGAAACCCUGAUGCAGCGACGCCGCGUGAGCGAUGAAGGUUUUCGAAUCGUAAAGCUCUGUCCUAUGGGAAGAUAAUGACGGUACCAUAGGAGGAAGCCCCGGCUAACUACGUGCCAGCAGCCGCGGUAAUACGUAGGGGGCGAGCGUUGUCCGGAAUUACUGGGCGUAAAGGGUUCGCAGGCGGCAUGACAAGUCCGAUGUAAAAGGCGAAAGCUCAACUUUCGUAAGCAUCGGAAACUGUCAAGCUUGAGUGAAGGAGAGGCAAGUGGAAUUCCUAGUGUAGCGGUGGAAUGCGUAGAUAUUAGGAGGAAUACCGGUGGCGAAGGCGACUUGCUGGACAUCAACUGACGCUGAGGAACGAAAGCGUGGGUAGCAAACAGG
rnacentral:rRNA from 1 species